rnacentral:rRNA from 1 species
AUUGAACGCUGGCGGCAUGCCUUACACAUGCAAGUCGAACGGCAGCACGGGGCAACCUGGUGGCGAGUGGCGAACGGGUGAGUAAUGCAUCGGAACGUGCCAUUGAGUGGGGGAUAACGUAGCGAAAGUUGCGCUAAUACCGCAUAUUCUGUGAGCAGGAAAGCAGGGGGACCGCAAGGCCUUGCGCUCUUUGAGCGGCCGAUGUCAGAUUAGCUAGUUGGUGAGGUAACGGCUUACCAAGGCGACGAUCUGUAGCGGGUCUGAGAGGAUGAUCCGCCACACUGGAACUGAGACACGGUCCAGACUCCUACGGGAGGCAGCAGUGGGGAAUUUUGGACAAUGGGCGCAAGCCUGAUCCAGCCAUGCCGCGUGAGUGAAGAAGGCCUUCGGUGUAAGACUCUUUCAGCAGGAACGAAACGGUAGGCCGAC